AUUGAACGCUGGCGGCAUGCUUUACACAUGCAAGUCGAACGGUCUUCUGGGGGCAACCCUGGUGGCGAGUGGCGAACGGGUGAGUAAUGCAUCGGAACGUGCCCCGUCGUGGGGGAUAACACAUCGAAAGAUGUGCUAAUACCGCAUACGACCUGAGGGUGAAAGCGGGGGACCGCAAGGCCUCGCGCGAUGGGAGCGGCCGAUGUCUGAUUAGCUAGUUGGUGGGGUAAAGGCCUACCAAGGCGACGAUCAGUAGCUGGUCUGAGAGGACGACCAGCAAAACUGGGACUAGGACACGGCCCAGACUCCUACGGGAGGCAGCAGUGGGGAAUUUUGGACAAUGGGGGCAACCCUGAUCCAGCCAUGCCGCGUGCGGGAAGAAGGCCUUCGGGUUGUAAACCGCUUUUGGCAGGAACGAAACGGUGCGGGCGAAUACCCUGUGCUAAUGACGGUACCUGCAGAAUAAGCACCGGCUAACUACGUGCCAGCCGCCGCCGUAAUAC
rnacentral:rRNA from 1 species